GUGCCCAGAUGGGAUUAGCUGGUUGGUGAGGUAACGGCUCACCAAGGCGACGAUCCCUAGCUGGUCUGAGAGGAUGACCAGCCACACUGGAACUGAGACACGGUCCAGACUCCUACGGGAGGCAGCAGUGGGGAAUAUUGCACAAUGGGCGCAAGCCUGAUGCAGCCAUGCCGCGUGUAUGAAGAAGGCCUUCGGGUUGUAAAGUACUUUCAGCGGGGAGGAAGGUGUUGUGGUUAAUAACCGCAGCAAUUGACGUUACCCGCAGAAG
rnacentral:rRNA from 1 species